rnacentral:rRNA from 1 species
GACGUAGGAUGCGAGCGUUGUCCGGAUUUAUUGGGCGUAAAGAGUUCGUAGGUGGCCUAUCAAGUCUGGUGUUAAAGCCCGGGGCUCAACUCCGGUUCGGCACUGGAUACUGGUAAGCUAGAGUACAGAAGAGGCAAGGGGAAUUCCUAGUGUAGCGGUGAAAUGCGUAGAUAUUAGGAGGAACACCGGUGGCGAAAGCGCCUUGCUGGGCUGUUACUGACGCUGAGGAACGAAAGCCGGGGGAGCAAACAGG